UAGGAUAUAGCAUAAUUUGAAAUGUAUUUCGUUUACACUGAAAUGAUACUUUAGUAUAAGUUGUCCUAA
rnacentral:tRNA from 1 species